rnacentral:rRNA from 1 species
GAUGAACGCUGGCGGCGUGCUUAACACAUGCAAGUCGAGCGAUGAAGUUUCCUUCGGGAAACGGAUUAGCGGCGGACGGGUGAGUAACACGUGGGUAACCUGCCUCAUAGAGUGGAAUAGCCUUUCGAAAGGAAGAUUAAUACCGCAUAAUAUUGAGAGAUGGCAUCAUCACUCAAUCAAAGGAGCAAUCCGCUAUGAGAUGGACCCGCGGCGCAUUAGCUAGUUGGUGGGGUAACGGCCUACCAAGGCGACGAUGCGUAGCCGACCUGAGAGGGUGAUCGGCCACAUUGGGACUGAGACACGGCCCAGACUCCUACGGGAGGCAGCAGUGGGGAAUAUUGCACAAUGGGGGAAACCCUGAUGCAGCAACGCCGCGUGAGUGAUGAAGGUUUUCGGAUCGUAAAGCUCUGUCUUUGGGGAAGAUAAUGACGGUACCCAAGGAGGAAGCCACGGCUAACUACGUGCCAGCCGCCGCCGUAACAC